CAGGCCAUGCCCCCUUCCCCCUUCCAGUGUCCUCUCUCCGCUUGCUCGGCUCCAACCCCACUCUUUCUGUCUCUCAGGUUCAACUAGUUUUAAGGAGAGGAGAUACAAUUGCCAGCAGCUGAAGGAGAGGAGUAUCUCCCAGUAUUUUAUCUGCUGAUAAGACAGACACUUCCUUUGAAAAUGGAUUUAUUAAUUCCACAAAGAUUCACUGACUUCUGUGAAGAUCAGCGUAUUUCCAUUUCCAAGCUCUCCUGAGAACGUGAGACAACAUGGUGCCUCCACAGCAUGGUGCAGUAGUAAAGAGAAUAUGUCUUCAUCUUCGAGAUUAUGGACAGGCAGAAUUCCCUUGCUAUUAUCGCCACAUAUGCAGUUAUGGCCUUCACUGAAAUCUUGAAGCCCUCACAGUCAUCCAUGAAGUUUGGAAUCAACGUCUACCAAACUCCUGGAACAGAAGUCAUAACACACACUGAAAUAGAGUGUCACACUUGUCAGCAGCAGAUAAAGUAAUGUAUCAUCUGAUGCUUUCUCUCUCUUCUGUGGCACCAACAAAGGCAGACCCGCCAUCGGAGGAAAGCAUUACUCCCAUCUGGGUUUUAAUGCAGAAAUAACACAUAGCUGACUUAGUCUAGGCUCCCUUGAUUAAAGUUAGAAUAUCCAAAGUAAAAGUUUCACUUACCAAGAGUCCUCUCUAUCCAAAGCGUGUCACAGAUCUAUUUGAAAUAGAUAAUGUGUUAGCUCCAGAUUUUCUCAGCACGAUGUUUCUGCUCACUUCGUUCCUGAGUAUAUAGAAAUUGGUAGUUGGCAAAGUCACCUGAAAUAAAGAAGAAUCAAGUUUU